GGCAGUGUGGUGCAGUGGUUUACCUAUUGGAUUAAGACUCUGGAGAUCAGGGUUCGAAUCCCUGCUCAGCCG